UUUAAAUGUAAUUUGUUAAUCAAAUUAGUAUUAGUUAUUUUCUUAAAAGUUAAAGAUUUUGGCGGUAUUUUAGUCUAAUCAGAGGAACCUGUUCUGUAAUUGAUAAUCCACGAUUAAUUUAACUUUUAUUAUUAAUUUGUAUAUCAUCGUGAAUGAAUAUUUUAAAAGAAUAUUAAUAUUCGAGAUUUUUUAUUAAAAUGAAAAUCAGAUCAAGGUGCAGUUUAUAUAGAAGGAGAAAUGGGUUACAAUAAAGUUAUUUAUAUGGAUUUUAAAAUGAAAUUUUUAAUUGAAGGUGGAUUUGAGAGUAAUUUUAUCAAUUUAGUUAAAAUGAUUUUAGCUCUAAAAUAUGU
rnacentral:rRNA from 1 species